rnacentral:snoRNA from 1 species
ACGGUCGCUGAUGACACCAUUUGUCGACGGGCGGUCUGAAUCUGUUGAUGAGUGUCGACAUUAAGCGUCCGCAAGGGCGUGUCUGAGAUCCGU